rnacentral:rRNA from 1 species
CAGCAGCCGCGGUAAAACGUAGGGUGCAAGCGUUAUCCGGAAUUAUUGGGCGUAAAGAGCUCGUAGGCGGUUUGUCGCGUCUGCUGUGAAAACUGGAGGCUCAACCUCCAACCUGCAGUGGGUACGGGCAGACUAGAGUGCGGUAGGGGAGAUUGGAAUUCCUGGUGUAGCGGUGGAAUGCGCAGAUAUCAGGAGGAACACCGAUGGCGAAGGCAGAUCUCUGGGCCGUAACUGACGCUGAGGCACGAAAGCGUGGGGAGCAAACAGGAUUAGAUACCCCCGUAGUCCCUGUCUCUUAUAC